CCAAUGAUUAAUUUUAAAUGGCUGCAGUAUUUUAACUGUACAAAGGUAGCAUAAUAAUUAGUUUUUUAAUUGAGGACUUGUAUGAAUGGAUAUAUGAGGGAUUUAUUUUAUUUUUAUUAUUUUUAUAAUUUUAUUUAUUGGUAAAAAAGCUAAUUAAAAUUUUAGGGACGAGAAGACCCUAUAGAAUUUUUUAAAAUUAAAAUUUAAUAUUAUUUUUUGUUUAAAUUAUAUAAUUUAUGUUAAUUAUUUUUUUAAUUGGGGUGAUUAAUAAAUUUUUAAGACUUUAUUUUAUUAAUUCAUUUGUUUUUGAAGUUAAUUUGAUCCUUAAUUUUAAGAUUAUAAGAUAAAUUACCU
rnacentral:rRNA from 1 species